GACGAACGUUGGCGGCGUGCUUAAUACAUGCAAGUCAACUGAAGCAGUGGUAGCAAUAUCGCUGUGGAGGUGGCGCACGGGUGAGUAACACGUAGGUAAUCUGCCUUCAGGUCUGGCAUAACUCCGGGAAACCGGGGCUAAUAGCAGAUGAUGCAGCGGCUCGACAUCGAGACAGUUGUUAAAGCUAUGGCGCCUGAAGAUGAGCCUGCGUCUGAUUAGCUAGUUGGCGGGGUAACGGCCCACCAAGGCAACGAUCAGUAGCUGGUCUGAGAGGAUGAUCAGCCACACUGGAACUGAGACACGGUCCAGACUCCUACGGGAGGCAGCAGUAAGGAAUAUUGCUCAAUGGGAGAAAUCCUGAAGCAGCAACGCCGCGUGAGGGACGAGGGGCUUUUGCUUGUAAACCUCUGUAGUGAGAGAAAAAAAUCCCAAUCUUUGGGACAUGAUGGUAUCUCAAAAGUAAGCCCCGGCUAACUACGUG
rnacentral:rRNA from 1 species